AUUUGUCACUAUGAUUGAUGUAAGAUAAUGGUUGUAGCCUUUAUGGACAAUUCUUUUGAACAUGGAAAUUUCUAAAUAAUAGAUAAGCAUAAAUGCAUAGAUCAAAAGUCUCCCGAUUCUAAUGACAAACUCAAUUAUUCUAACAACAAUUAGCCAAAAUUAUGUUGUAACAUUUAACUAGUAUUUUGCGCAAAGGAACCAAAAAAGCUUAGAUGGAGGUGUAGCAUCAUAUCAAUUAAAAAAGGUAGUAGAAUAUUGAAUUAGUUAUUUUAUUUCCAACAUAACAUUUCUAAAAUUUCUUGUCAAUGAUCUUUGGGUGCCCCAUGGAGUGCCUAGAGAGGCAAGUGCCUAGGGCACUAAAGUGCACCUAAAUGAUUACGUCUUACCUAUGGUUUACAAGCCACUUCUUCCUUGGCACCUUUCACCUGGCAUCUAAGGCAAACUUUUAAAAAUGCUUUGAAAAUAAUAAUAGAAAACUAAGUUAUUGCACACAAAUAGUAUCCUUAUCCCAUAAAGAUUAUUAAUUCAUUAUUGGUGACUUAAUAAAGAAAUACCAAACAAGAAGCAUAAAAUUCUUAACGAGAAAAAUCUCUAACAAAAGUCGGAAGCUUCUAAAUUAUAAUAAAACUCACCUUUCCCUAAACAAUCCACUUAUUUAGGAGAAUUCAAAAUAGUAGAAUUUACUGUAAAAAUUAUCAAAAUUAAGAAUUAAACAAAACUACUUCUAAAUUUCUUUUUCCUUAAUUACACUACCUCUCAAUGGCAAUGAUCCAAGCACAACGCCAUUUUAUUCUUCAGGUACAUAUGGAAAAUGCCCAUGCACUACACUUACUAUAUACAAUAAUACAUCAUGAUCAUAAGUCAUGAAAGAUCUCCUAAACUUGCUGCUUAUCUAAUCAUGACACUAACAUGUAACAAUUACAUUAAAAAAAUCAUAAUUUUGCUCACUAUUACAUAAUUGAAUUAAUAUAUAAGUUUUAGAGGAAAAAACAUUCGAAAAAAUGGAGAAAAUUCUAAUGGAUAUAUAGUGAAAUUUGUUAAAAUAAAUCUUUUUCAUUUGAUGAAUAUUAAAAAUAUAUAUAAACCAUAUGAGGAAAAAAAAAAUUAAUUGGACCGUUAAUUAAUGCCACAUUUUUACUAGGUAUAAAGGAAAAAAAAAAAUCUUUUACUUGCAAAAUAUAUAAGCUAACGAAUGCCACAAUCCUCCACUCCUCUUAAUUGAAAAGGCCAAUAUGACCUUGAGUUAAGAAAAAAGAAUGAUCCAUAGGAAUUUUCAAAUUAAAUCCUUGAAAUCCUUCUCUUAAUUUACGAAACACCUUAGCUUGAUGAGCAAUCAUUAAUGAAAAUUUAAAAAAAAAAAAAGUGAAGAAAAAUGAAAUUUGGUAGUUGCCAAACAACACUAUUACCACAUAUAUGGCUCAUAUGGAGAUAUGCUAAUAAACUAUAUCCCAUUUUAAGGUCAAUUUACAUAUAUUUUACUAAUGUUAUGUAGGCUUUUAUUAGUUUUAACCUGCUCUUAUUUAGUUUUAACCAUAAUAAGCGUUCCUCAUGAUUUGAUCCUAUUUUACUGUGAACAGAUGAAAGAAUUAGUCCAGAAGUCCUUAAGAGUAGAAGUUUAGUUGAUUUGGUGCUUAGAAAGCUUAAAUGGAGAAUUAAAAUGAAGAAAAGAACUAAGUGAAGGCAGCAAAGUACAUGCCUAGAGCAUGUUGGAACAAUGUAGGGCAUGCCUAAAGCGUGUAAUCCAUUGAAUCUUGAAAGGCACUCAUGUUACAUUUGAGACAUACGGGCAUGUGAAAACAGGACAAGGCAUGACUUGGGCGUGUAACACGUUUCUUAAGGAAUGAUGAAGCCACGAAAUGGGAUAGAGAGCCACAUGCCUUGGGGAUCUGAAGGAGCCAAAAGACUCGCACAAGGCGUGUCAACGAAGUGAAAAUGCUCUAUUAUAUGAAAGGAUGGAUUCUGAAGGGCUUCUCUUUACAUAACCAGUCGAAACUCUCUAAGACCAAAUAUUAAGAGCCUUUUACCAAAAUUAGGGAUUCAACAUUCUUUACACAAUUAACCCUAGCCUCCAAGGUAGAAGAAAGAGAUCAAGCAAGGAAUUGAAGACCUAGGGCGUCUACUAAAGAUUUCCAACAUAAGAAUAGUUCUCUUCCAUUUCUUUCAUUUCUUGAUUGGAAUUAUUUUAAUGGCUUGUUCUGAUUCAUCAAUGCCUUUGUAUUCAUUGAAAUUAUAUUAAUCUGGAUCUCCCGUUUUAGGGUUAGGGAUGUAGCAACUCAAUUUAAACUAUAAUUGUAAUUUAAUUUUUUUCAAUAAAUUGGGAAUUUUUACUUUGAUUCAAUUUCUUGUGAGAUUAAUGCUUGCUUGUGCUUACUUUUCAUGAUUUUAUAUAUCAAAUGAAGAAUCAAAAGGUGAAAUUUGGUAUAGUAAAAAUAAGAAAUUGAACAUGGGAUUCCUGACCUAUAGAUAGGCUAGAACUCUUUGAAAAAUUUUUAUUGAAGA
rnacentral:misc_RNA from 1 species